GGUGGCUUUGUGGUAGAGCACUUGCCUUGCAUGCAUGAGGCCCUGGGUUCGAUUCCUCAGCACCA
rnacentral:tRNA from 1 species